UCUGGCGGCAAUAGCGCGGUGGUCCCACCUGACCCCAUGCCGAACUCAGAAGUGAAACGCCGUAGCGCCGAUGGUAGUGUGGGGUCUCCCCAUGUGAGAGUAGGGAACUGCCAGAC
rnacentral:rRNA from 7 species